rnacentral:sRNA from 1 species
GUUAAGUCCUUCGCGUUAGGGAUAGGAGCGGCAUCCUUUUGUGAUAAAUGUCUGGUCUUGUCUGGAAAUGAAGCCUUCUUGAACCAAAAGAUAUAGCGGAUAGCCCGGCCGUAG